GUGGGGCCGGGGCUGUACCCUCUGGCCCAAGGCCACGUGCAGGCGCAGUCUGUAGUGGAGACCCCGACGGAGGGCAGAGAAACAGACAGUGAGAGCGGACGCUGCACCUGGAUGUAUGCUGAACGACAUCGGGCAGAGGAGAAAGCUUUAAAGCAUAGAUGUGCGUUGCUGUUGAAGUUUCUUCCUGACAUACAUAAAUGAAAUCAAAGAAGAACGAGGUGAGCCUGUGACACUUCUGGGACCUCAUCACUUUCAUUGGACAGAAAAGGCUCUGCAUUCAACCAGCAGCUCCAGGGGUUAUAAUCCAAAACAGCCUUUUAGACCUGGAACUUACAAUUUCCUUCCAAAUGACUGUGGGAGCAUGGCUAGAUAAUUAUACAUCUCAACCAUUGUGUAAACCAAUUUAAUUAACAUUUUUCAGGCAUGUCACAUUUGUACAAUCACUAAAUAAUUUUCUAAAAUUAUGUUGCCUUAGAAAUUGCCACGUAUCAACCUGGAUUAUUCUGACUCAUGGCCCUUAUCAUGUUUGAAACAAUAAAAGUUUUUUCUUUGCAAA
rnacentral:lncRNA from 1 species